rnacentral:misc_RNA from 1 species
AGCGGGGUUGCUCAAUUGUUGAGUUGUAUGAACUCGUGCAGCACGCUGGCAACAUUUUGCCUAGACUGUAUCUACUUUGCACAGUGGGGUCUGUGUACAUCAAAUCCAAGGAGGCUCCCGCCAAGGAUAUCCUUAAAGACCUGGUUGAAAUGUGCCGUGGUAUACAACAUCCUUUACGUGGACUCUUUCUGAGGAGUUACCUUUCCCAAGUUAGCAAGGAUAAAUUGCCUGAUAUAGGUUCCGAGUAUGAAGGAGAUGCAGAUACUGUUGUGGAUGCUGUAGAGUUUGUACUCCAAAAUUUCACGGAAAUGAACAAACUCUGGGUUAGAAUGCAACAUCAGGGACCUGCUCUGGAAAAGAUGAAACGCGAAAAAGAAAGGAGCGAGCUUCGUGAUCUCGUCGGGAAAAAUCUGCAUGUUCUCAGUCAAAUUGAGGGUAUUGACCUUGAGAUGUACAAAGAGACGGUGCUUCCAAGAAUUUUAGAGCAGGUUGUCAACUGUA